rnacentral:rRNA from 1 species
GGGUCAGUAGGUUGGUCGUGCCACCGGUACGUACUGGUCUCACUGAUUCCUCCUUCCUGAAGAACCGUAAUGCCAUUAAUUUGGUGUUGCGGGGAAACAGGACUGUUACUUUGAAAAGAUUAGAGUGUUUAAAGCAAGCUAACGCUUGAAUACAUUAGCAUGGAAUAAUGAAAUAGGACGAUCGAUCCUAUUUUGUUGGUUUCUAGGAUUGACGUA